rnacentral:rRNA from 1 species
GACGAACGCUGGCGGCGUGCUUAACACAUGCAAGUCGAACGGAAAGGCCCUGCUUGCAGGGUACUCGAGUGGCGAACGGGUGAGUAACACGUGGGUGAUCUGCCCUACACUUCGGGAUAAGCCUGGGAAACUGGGUCUAAUACCGGAUAGGAGCCAUUUUUAGUGUGAUGGUUGGAAAGUUUUUUCGGUGUAGGAUGAGCUCGCGGCCUAUCAGCUUGUUGGUGGGGUAAUGGCCUACCAAGGCGGCGACGGGUAGCCGGCCUGAGAGGGUGGACGGCCACAUUGGGACUGAGAUACGGCCCAGACUCCUACGGGAGGCAGCAGGGGGGAAUAUUGCACAAUGGGCGCAAGCCUGAUGCAGCGACGCCGCGGGGGGGAGGACGGCCUUCGGGUUGGAAACUCCUUUCGCUAGGGACGAAGCUUUUUGUGACGGUACCUAGAGAAGAAGCACCGGCUAACUACGUG